AGAGGAGCAAAGCAAAGCUUUGGGAUCCCUCUCUACCCACCGGCAACAUCUGGAGUUGAACCCUGGCGUGGUGAGGAAGCUGACACGGGUCACCAUAAGCUGCUUAACACAUGAGCAUUUACCACACUGAGGAGAGAAGGUCGGAACCCUGCCGGAGACAAAGACAUGGGUCUGCAUCUCCUCCAGCUGCUCCCAGAACCUGGCCUGGACCCAAUAACACUGAAGGUCCAUGCAUACAUUAGGCGCUUGGGUUGAGAUGCCAGGAGCCUCCGAAAUGUGACACACAGUCAACUCUUCACCGUGGUAAGUUACAAAAGGACCCUGCAGAGUCUUCGGGACAAGAAGGGCAACCGCUCAGGGUACUGAGCCACACUGGGUACUUUGUGUGGAAGGAAAAUGGCCCAAGAAACAAACAGAACAAAUCCGCCUGGGGAGCCAGCACCUCUUUUGAUCAGGGACUUGACGUGGCCUCAGGAUGACAGCCACCGGAUGCUCCCAGCAGGGCCCUAGGUCCCACCAUGAGGUCAGGUCCAGCCCUCUUCCCAGUUUCCUGCCGAGACUCAGAACUCGAGGUCCCACCUUCAGAGGGCCUUUCCAGUUUAUGUGACCCAGGCAACCUGAACUUUCCCCCAGCCCAGUGGGAUGUCCUCCUGCGAAGUCUCCGACCGUUGGCAUGCCUUCCCGAAGACUGUGAAUCCUGGAGAAUGUCUCUCUGCCAAGGGCUUCCCUCCCUCAGGGGAGAGAGAGAGAGAGAGAGAGAGAGAGAGAAAUAGAA
rnacentral:lncRNA from 1 species